ensembl:lncRNA
CUUUUCUUCACACAAAUGAUGGGGAUCUGGGCCUGUUCCUGAGAAUCAGAUAAGUGAUGGGUUGUCAAUUGGCGAGUCGACAUAAACAUAAAAUGUCAUUAAUUCAUACAGUAUGAGAAUUGAGAAACACUAUUCUUCGCCACAACAGUGCCAACUGAGCUAGUUAAUGAGCAGGUUGUAGCUGUGUGUGUGUGUGUGAGAGAGAGACCACCUGACCCGUGAGUCUAUCCAACAACCAAAAAAACUGCAUAAAUAAAAAGGUCUGGAACAAAACCAGCAAUUCCGCCUGUUUAUUAGUCAUUUUAAUGCCAGAUAGUUAGUAUUUUCCAUGUACUGCUAGCGUUGGCCUUAUUAACGGUAUCAAAACAAGUAGAAACAACUCAAACUGUGCAGAAUUAAUUCACUACAUAAGCAUCACUCCCAAUGCCAGCAUAAUAAAACAAACACUUCACCAUCAAUGAUGAAGUAGUGCAAUAUGGAAAAGCUUUGAUAAUGUUGCUAGUUUUAAACAAUAGUAACAAGUUACUAAGUUGUAUUGUAAUAGCAGCAUGGCUCAGCAUCACCAACACACAGCACUGUGCAUAGUGAGCACAGUAAAACACCUUAUGGCACCUAAGUGGUGUCAAUAUGGAUCCACGUCUGCACCCACUGUCUUACGUCAGGUGGCGUCAAUCCUACGCAAUGGUCGUCCCUCAACCGACGAUAACGGGAAUCAUCGUUAUCUGAUGUAAGACAAUGGGUCUGAACCCAUAGAGUUGGUUGGAACUGGAGCCUGUAGGCUACUUAGCACUCAGGAGGGUAAAGGUCUGUAGAGGGUAGAAGUCUGUAGAGGGUAGAAGUCUGUAGAGGGUAGAAGUCUGUAGAGGGUAGAAGUCUGUAGAGGCUAGAGGUCUGUAGAGGCUAGAGGUCUGUAGAGGCUAGAGGUCUGUAGAGGCUAGAGGUCUGUAGAGGGUAGAGGUCUGUAGAGGUCUGUAGAGGGUAGAAGUCUGUAGACGUCUGUAGAGGGUAGAAGUCUGUAGAAGUCUGUAGAGGGUAGAAGUCUGUAGAGGGUAGAGGUCUGUAGAAGUCUGUAGAGGGUAGAAGUCUAGAGGGUAGAGGUCUGUAGAGGGUAGAGGUCUGUAGAGGGUAGAAGUCUGUAGAGGCUAGAGGUCUGUAGAGGCUAGAGGUCUGUAGAGGCUAGAGGUCUGUAGAGGGUAGAAGUCUGUAGAGGUCUGUAGAGGGUAGAAGUCUGUAGACGUCUGUAGAGGGUAGAAGUCUGUAGACGUCUGUAGAGGGUAGAAGUCUGUAGACGUCUGUAGAGGGUAGAAGUCUGUAGAAGGUAGAAGUCUGUAGACGUCUGUAGAGGGUAGAAGUCUGUAGACGUCUGUAGAGGGUAGAAGUCUGUAGACGUCUGUAGAGGGUAGAAGUCUGUAGACGUCUCUAGAGGGUAGAGGUCUGUAGACGUCUCUAGAGGGUAGAGGUCUGUAGACGUCUCUAGAGGGUAGAAGUCUGUAGACGUCUCUAGAGGGUAGAAGUCUGUAGACGUCUCUAGAGGGUAGAAGUCUGUAGACGUCUCUAGAGGGUAGAAGUCUGUAGACGUCUGUAGAGGGUAGAAGUCUGUAGACGUCUCUAGAGGGUAGAAGUCUGUAGACGUCUCUAGAGGGUAGAAGUCUGUAGAAGGUAGAAGUCUGUAGAGGUCUGUAGAGGGUAGACAUCUGUAGAAGCCUGUAGAGGGGGUAGACAUCUGUAGAAGCCUGUAGAGGGUAGAAGUCUAGGUAGAAGCCUGUAGAAGCCUGUAGAGAGUAGAAGCCUGUAGACAUUACCUGUUUAUUUCGCCCCAAUUUCAUGGUUUCCAAUUGGUAGGUAGUUUUGUCCCAUCGCUGCAACUCCCAUAUGGAGAGGCGAAGGUUGAGAGUUGUGCGUCGCACGAAACACGAACCAGCCAAGCCACACUGCUUCUUGACACAACGCCCGCUUAACCCGGAAGCCAGCCGCACCAAUGUUCUGUAUACACCGUACACCUGGCAACCGUGUCAGGGGCCAUGUGCCCGGCCCACCACAGGAGUAACUAGAGCGCGAUGGGAAAUGUUAAUCUUGGCCUGUCAAACCCUCUCCUAACCUGGAUGACGCUGGGCCAAUUGUGUGCCGCCUCAUGGGUCUCCCAGGAACUGGCCAGCUGUGACACAGCCUGGGAUCGAACCCAGGUCUCUAGUGACGCCUCAAAGACUGCGAUGAAGUACCUUAGACUGCUGCGCCACUCGAGAGGCUCCCGCAAAUUGAUUUUAACAAAAUUGAUCUCCCAAAAAAUGCUCCCCCCCAUUGAAUUUCAAAAUCCCGAUGUGGCCCUCGAGCCAAAAAGUUUGCCCACCCCUGCUAUAGAGGGUAGGAGUCGGUAGUGCUAGCCUGUACGAUCUGUAGGCUACACAGGUAGGUAAACUCUUAGAAAAAACUGUUCCAAAAAAGUCCCCAUAGGAGAACCCUUUUUGGUUCCUG